rnacentral:rRNA from 1 species
UACGAAGGGGGCUAGCGUUGUUCGGAAUUACUGGGCGUAAAGCGUGCGCAGGCGGUUUUGUAAGCCAGAUGUGAAAUCCCCGGGCUUAACCUGGGAAUGGCAUUUGGGACUGCAAGGCUUGAGUGCGGCAGAGGAGACUGGAAUUCCCGGUGUAGCAGUGAAAUGCGUAGAUAUCGGGAGGAAUACCGAUGGCGAAGGCAGGUCUCUGGGCUGACACUGACGCUCAUGCACGAAAGCGUGGGGAGCAAACAGG